GACGAACGCUGGCGGCGUGCUUAACACAUGCAAGUCGAGCGAGGACCGCACUCUUUUGGGUGUGGAGCCGAGCGGCGAACGGGUGAGUAACACGUGAGCAACCUGCCCCUGGCUCUGGGAUAGCCCUGGGAAACCGGGAUUAAUACCGGAUAUGACCGCUGCUCGCAUGGGUGGUGGUGGAAAGGUUCCCCCUUGUGGGGUUCCGGCCGGGGAUGGGCUCGCGGCCUAUCAGCUUGUUGGUGGGGUGACGGCCUACCAAGGCGAUGACGGGUAGCCGGCCUGAGAGGGUGGUCGGCCACACUGGGACUGAGACACGGCCCAGACUCCUACGGGAGGCAGCAGUGGGGAAUAUUGCGCAAUGGGCGGAAGCCUGACGCAGCGACGCCGCGUGGGGGAUGAAGGCCUUCGGGUUGUAAACCUCUUUCAGCAGGGACGAAGUUGACGUGUACCUGCAGAAGAAGCGCCGGCCAACUACGUG
rnacentral:rRNA from 1 species